rnacentral:rRNA from 1 species
UACGGAGGGGGCUAGCGUUGUUCGGAAUUACUGGGCGUAAAGCGCACGUAGGCGGCCCCAAAAGUUGGAUGUGAAAUCCCUCGGCUCAACCGAGGACGUGCAUCCAAAACUGUGGGGCUUGAGUACUGAAGAGGAUCGCGGAAUUCCCGGUGUAGAGGUGAAAUUCGUAGAUAUCGGGAGGAACACCAGUGGCGAAGGCGGCGAUCUGGGCAGAUACUGACGCUGAGGUGCGAAAGCGUGGGGAGCAAACAGG